rnacentral:rRNA from 1 species
CAAUGGGGGCAACCCUGAUCCAGCCAUGCCGCGUGAGUGAUGAAGGCCUUAGGGUUGUAAAGCUCUUUCGCUAGGGAAGAUAAUGACGGUACCUAGUAAAGAAACCCCGGCUAACUCCGUGCCAGCAGCCGCGGUAAUACGAAGGGGGCUAGCGUUGUUCGGAAUUACUGGGCGUAAAGCGCACGUAGGCGGAUUAGUAAGUUAGGGGUGAAAUCCCGAGGCUCAACCUCGGAACUGCCUUUAAUACUGCUAGUCUCGAGUUCGGGAGAGGUGUAUGGAACUCCUAGUGUAGAGGUGGAAUUCGUAGAUAUUAGGAAGAACACCAGUGGCGAAGGCGAUACACUGGCCCGAUACUGACGCUGAGGUGCGAAAGCGUGGGGAGCAAACAGGAUUA